AUACAUAUAAAUUCUGUGUUAUUAAUGAAAGCUGGGUGGCUUCCAGCCUCCCAUAUUCACCAAAAGGAUUGUGGUUGCUGAUAAGAUUUUCCAGUUGAUUUUUGCAAAAGCACCGAAGGUUUUGGAGCUGCGAUCUCGUGCAGGUGCCACCCUCGAAAGGUGGUGCAGCACCCAGGAUACCAAAAUUUUAUGAGGACACUGCACUUCUUCCGCCCUGUAAUGGAGGAGCGCUUGAGGUCUGACUUGCGGCUCAUCAUUCCCAUUGUGAGGACAAUAUCACAUGAUUUCUCCCACAUAUGUUCCCCUACUUCAAAUCAAAGAUAUUAUGCCAGUAAACUUAUGGCUCAUGAUGCAUCUGACUUCUUUUUGUGCAUCUGGCAUAUGUUCGCAUACUUUCUCCAAGAAAAUAUAAUGUGUUUCUGCUC